rnacentral:lncRNA from 1 species
CACCAGGGAUAGCGGCAGCCAGCUCAUUAGCUUGCAGGAAGCGCUUCCAGCUCCUCAGCAUCACGCUUCUCUCCACAUCUCCGCGGAGGGUGCACUCGAGGUUUGAGCGUGGGGUGGAAAUGGAGGCGUUUCCGUGCUAUUUUGGUUUAUUCUACUGACUGGCUGCUCAGCUGUUCGUUAACACAGCGAGACCUCUGUGAGCUAUGA